UCCCUUGUAGUUCAGUUGGUAAAGAAUCUGCCUUCAAUGCAGGAUACCCGGGUUCAAUUCCUGGAUUGGGAA
rnacentral:tRNA from 1 species